rnacentral:rRNA from 1 species
UACGUAGGGUGCGAGCGUUGUCCGGAAUUAUUGGGCGUAAAGAGCUUGUAGGCGGUUUGUCGCGUCUGCUGUGAAAUCUCAAGGCUCAACCUUGAGCUUGCAGUGGGUACGGGCAGACUAGAGUGUGGUAGGGGAGACUGGAAUUCCUGGUGUAGCGGUGGAACGCGCAGAUAUCAGGAGGAACACCGAUGGCGAAGGCAGGUCUCUGGGCCACUACUGACGCUGAGAAGCGAAAGCAUGGGGAGCGAACAGG